rnacentral:rRNA from 1 species
CCUACGGGCGGCAGCAGUGGGGAAUAUUGCACAAUGGGCGCAAGCCUGAUGCAGCCAUGCCGCGUGUGUGAAGAAGGCCUUCGGGUUGUAAAGCACUUUCAGCGGGGAGGAAGGCGGUGAGGUUAAUAACCUCAUCGAUUGACGUUACCCGCAGAAGAAGCACCGGCUAACUCCGUGCCAGCAGCCGCGGUAAUACGGAGGGUGCAAGCGUUAAUCGGAAUUACUGGGCGUAAAGCGCACGCAGGCGGUCUGUCAAGUCGGAUGUGAAAUCCCCGGGCUCAACCUGGGAACUGCAUUCGAAACUGGCAGGCUAGAGUCUGGUAGAGGGGGGUAGAAUGCCAGGUGUAGCGGUGAAAUUCGUAGAGAUCUGGAGGAAUACCGGUGGCGAAGGCGGCCCCCUGGACAAAGACUGACGCUCAGGUGCGAAAGCGAGGGGAGCAAACAGGAUUAGAUACCCCGGUAGUC